GUGUCAGCAGCCGCGGUAAUACGAACCGUCCAAACGUUAUUCGGAAUCAUUGGGCUUAAAGGGUACGUAGGCGGCGCUGUCAGUCGGGUGUGAAAGCCCUCGGCUCAACCGAGGAAUUGCGCCCGAUACUGCAGUGCUUGAGGGAGACAGAGGUAAGCGGAACUGAUGGUGGAGCGGUGAAAUGCGUUGAUAUCAUCAGGAACACCAGUGGCGAAAGCGGCUUACUGGGUCUCUUCUGACGCUGAGGUACGAAAGCUAGGGGAGCGAACGGGAUUAGAUACCCCGGUAGUCCUAGCUGUAAACGCUGAGCACUUGAUCGAGGAUCCCCCCAUAGGUUCUCGGUCGUAGCGAAAGUGGUAAGUGCUCCGCCUGGGGAGUAUGGUCGCAAGGCUGAAACUUAAAGGAAUUGGCGGGG
rnacentral:rRNA from 1 species